CUUAUUUUUAGCACGUGUCACAUCGAAUGUUUAGAUACUAAUUAAGAGUAUUAAACAUAGACUAUUUACAAAACCCAUUACAUAAGUGGAGGCUAAACGGCGAGACGAAUCUAUUAAGCCUAUUUAAUCCAUCAUUAGCAAAUGUUUACUGUAGCAACAUAUUGUCAAAUCAUGGACUAAUUAGGCUUAAUAGAUUUGUCUUGCCGUUUAGCAUUCACUUAUGUAAUGGAUUUUAUAAAUAAUCUACGUUUAAUAUUCCUAAUUAGUAUCUAAACAUUCAAUGUGACGGUUGUAAAAAUAAGCAGGAGGAGCCAACCAGGAACGGCGGACGGCCGCGCACUCGCCCCUGCGCCCGUGACCAACGUGUCGACCGCGUCACGUGCGUCGCGGCAGGAGGCAGGGAGACCGCAGAGCAGUUAGGAUGGAUGGAUGGGCUGGCCAGUGAAAUGUUUGAUGGCUCGGCCCACAGUGAAGCCCAAUUGUG
rnacentral:lncRNA from 1 species